CCUGCUGAGCGGGCGCGGCACCAGCCGCCGCAACCCAAAGCCCCGGGCUUCCUGCAGCCACCGCCGCUGCGCCAGCCCAGGACGACCCCGCCGCCAGGGGCCCAGUGCGAGGUCCCCGCCAGCCCCCAGCGGCCUUCCCCGCCCGGGGCGCUCCCAGAGCAAACGAGGUCCCUGAGAGCUCCACCUAGUUCACAGGAUAAAAUCCCACAGCAGAACUCGGAGUCAGCAAUGGCUAAGCCCCAGGUGGUUGUAGCUCCUGUAUUAAGGUCUAAGCUGUCUGUGAAUGCCCCUGAAUUUUACCCUUCAGGUUAUUCCUCCAGUUACACAGAAUCCUAUGAGGUUGGUUGUGAGGAUUAUCCUACUCCAUCAGAAUAUGUUCAGGAUUUUUUGAAUCAUCUUACAGAGCAGCCUGGCAGUUUUGAAACUGAAAUUGAACAGUUUGCAGAGACCCUGAAUGGUUGCGUUACAACAGAUGAUGCUUUGCAAGAACUUGCGGAACUCAUCUAUCAACAGGCCACGUCUAUCCCAAAUUUCUCUUAUAUGGGAGCUCGCCUGUGUAAUUACCUGUCCCAUCAUCUGACAAUUAGCCCACAGAGUGGCAACUUCCGCCAAUUGCUACUUCAAAGAUGUCGGACUGAAUAUGAAGUUAAAGAUCAAGCUGCAAAAGGGGAUGAAGUUACUCGAAAACGAUUUCAUGCAUUUGUAUUCUUUCUGGGAGAACUUUAUCUUAACCUGGAGAUCAAGGGAACAAAUGGACAGGUUACAAGAGCAGAUAUUCUUCAGGUUGGUCUUCGAGAAUUGCUGAAUGCCCUGUUUUCUAAUCCUAUGGAUGACAAUUUAAUUUGUGCAGUAAAAUUGUUAAAAUUGACAGGAUCAGUUUUGGAAGAUGCUUGGAAGGAAAAAGGAAAGAUGGAUAUGGAAGAAAUUAUUCAGAGAAUUGAAAACGUUGUCCUAGAUGCAAACUGCAGUAGAGAUGUAAAACAGAUGCUCUUGAAGCUUGUAGAACUCCGGUCAAGUAACUGGGGUAGAGUCCAUGCAACUUCAACAUAUAGAGAAGCAACACCAGAAAAUGAUCCUAACUACUUUAUGAAUGAACCAACAUUUUAUACAUCUGAUGGUGUUCCUUUCACUGCAGCUGAUCCAGAUUACCAAGAGAAAUACCAAGAAUUACUUGAAAGAGAGGACUUUUUUCCAGAUUAUGAAGAAAAUGGAACAGAUUUAUCCGGGGCUGGUGAUCCAUACUUGGAUGAUAUUGAUGAUGAGAUGGACCCAGAGAUAGAAGAAGCUUAUGAAAAGUUUUGUUUGGAAUCAGAGCGUAAGCGAAAACAGUAAAGUUAAAUUUCAGCAUAUCAGUUUUAUAAAGCAGUUUAGGUAUGGUGAUUUAGCAGAACACAGGAGAGCAAGAAAAUGUGUCACAUCUAUACCAAAUUAAGGAUGUUGAGUUAUGUUACUAAUGUAUGCAACUUUAAUUUUGUUUAACACUAUCUGCCAAAAUAAACUUUAUUCCCUAUAACUUAAAAUGUGUAUAUAUAUAUAUAUAUAUAUAUAUAUAUAUAUAUAUAUGUGUGUAUAUAUAUAUAUAUAAUAGUUUAUUAUGUACAGUUAAUUCUACUGUUUUGGCUGCAAUAAAAUCGAUUUUGAAAUAAAUGAAAUGUUGAAAAUUUUGCUAGUUGGUUAGAUGCUUAUCCUUUAAAUUCUACUUUUCUUGAGGUGAAAAAGUCUUCCUCUGGAAAUACAUAUCACUGCAAAAAUGUAGCAUCCUUUUUUAGGUAGGAGUAUUAUAGCUUUCAUUUUAGUUUGACAUUUAGUGUCCCAAUGAAUUGAAUUUCAAAUAUGAAUCAUAAUCUUGAAAAUCUUUAGCACUAAAGUCUUGGAAUAUAUCAACAACUGAUUUACAUAUGCAGAUGCUAUUUGAUACCAAGGGCUUUUUAAAUGUCAUGGGGGGGAAAUCCCAACUUGGUGAACUCCCAGCUAAACAGCCAAGACUUCACUGAAGAUUUAUUCCAAUUCUAGAAUUGUUCUUUUUUAUUUUUAUUUUUUCAACUGACUAACUUCAUUACCUUAAAGCCUAGAACAUUAUUCUGCUUUAUUUAUAUGGCUUUCUCACUUUUAUUUUGUAGCAUGGGUUGCAUCGACUUUUUUACUAGAGAAUUUUACUAGAUAUUUGUCAUUCAAGUUUUCAUCUGCUUUAUAAUUGAUACACCUUGAGGGUCACUUUUCUAAUACUUUUACUAUAAUGUGGUACCACCUCAGCCCUAAUAAAUAAUAUUUUUACCUAAUGUCAAAUCUUUUUCCAGCUAACUAAAAACUAUGUACAAAAGGAUUGCUUGUAAAUAUGCAUGUAAAUAGUUCUGUUAAUAACCCACUGUUUUACAUUUGGUACAUCUGUGUCUGCUAAUACAGUUAGCUUUCUCACUUUUCUGCUUGUUUGUUCAGUCUGAAUUAAAAUUAGACUUUGAAAAUAAAGCUUAAAUAGUUCUGUUUCCUCUAAAAAAA
rnacentral:lncRNA from 1 species